rnacentral:rRNA from 1 species
GACGAACGCUGGCGGCGUGCUUAACACAUGCAAGUCGAACGGUGAAGCUCCAGCUUGCUGGAGUGGAUCAGUGGCGAACGGGUGAGUAACACGUGAGCAACCUGCCCCUGACUCUGGAAUAAGCGCUGGAAACGUCGUCUAAUACUGGAUACGAGAAGGGUCCGCAUGGGCACUUUCUGGAAAGUUUUUCGGUUGGGGAUGGGCUCGCGGCCUAUCAGCUUGUUGGUGAGGUAAUGGCUCACCAAGGCGACGACGGGUAGCCGGCCUGAGAGGGCGACCGGCCACACUGGGACUGAGACACGGCCCAGACUCCUACGGGAGGCAGCAGUGGGGAAUAUUGCACAAUGGGCGAAAGCCUGAUGCAGCGACGCCGCGUGAGGGAUGACGGCCUUCGGGUUGUAAACCUCUUUCAGCAGGGAAGAAGCGAAAGUGACGGUACCUGCAGAAGAAGCACCGGCUAACUACGUG